rnacentral:rRNA from 1 species
GUGAGGAAUAUUGGUCAAUGGACGAGAGUCUGAACCAGCCAAGUCGCGUGAAGGAAGACGGUUCUAUGAAUUGUAAACUUCUUUUGUGCAGGAAUAAAGUGGGUUACGUGUAACCUUUUGUAUGUACUGUACGAAUAAGGAUCGGCUAACUCCGUGCCAGCAGCCGCGGUAAUACGGAGGAUCCGAGCGUUAUCCGGAUUUAUUGGGUUUAAAGGGUGCGUAGGUGGAUUGAUAAGUCUGCGGUGGAAGUUUGCAGCUUAACUGUAAAAUUGCCGUUGAAACUGUCGGUCUGGAGUGCAAAGGUGGUAAGCGGAAGGUGUUGUGUAGCGGUGAAAUGCUUAGAUAUAACACAGAACACCGAUUGCGAAGGCAGCUUACUGGGAUGCAACUGACACUGAUGCACGAAAGCGUGGGUAUCAAACAGGAUUAGAAACCCGGGUAGUCC